rnacentral:rRNA from 1 species
AACGUAGGACACAAGCGUUAUCCGGAGUUACUGGGCGUAAAGGGCGUGUGGGCGGAGAUGUAAGUCUAUUCUGAAAGCUCCUGGCUAAACUGGGAGAGGCGAAUGGAGACUGCAUAUCUAGAGUGAGGAAGAGGAAAGUGGAAUUCCGCGUGUAGUGGUGAAAUGCGUAGAGAUGUGGAGGAACACCGAUGGCGAAGGCAGCCCCCUGGGUUAACACUGACGCUCAGGCACGAAAGCGUGGGGAGCAAACAGG